rnacentral:rRNA from 1 species
GAUGAACGCUGGCGGCGUGCCUAAUACAUGCAAGUCGAGCGAACGGACGAGAAGCUUGCUUUUCUGAUGUUAGCGGCGGACGGGUGAGUAACACGUGGAUAACCUACCUAUAAGACUGGGAUAACUUCGGGAAACCGGAGCUAAUACCGGAUAAUAUUUUGAACCGCAUGGUUCAAAAGUGAAAGACGGUCUUGCUGUCACUUAUAGAUGGAUCCGCGCUGCAUUAGCUAGUUGGUAAGGUAACGGCUUACCAAGGCAACGAUGCAUAGCCGACCUGAGAGGGUGAUCGGUCACACUGGAACUGAGACACGGUCCAGACUCCUACGGGAGGCAGCAGUAGGGAAUCUUCCGCAAUGGGCGAAAGCCUGACGGAGCAACGCCGCGUGAGUGAUGAAGGUCUUCGGAUCGUAAAACUCUGUUAUUAGGGAAGAACAUAUGUGUAAGUAACUGUGCACAUCUUGACGGUACCUAAUCAGAAAGCCACGGCUAACUACGU